rnacentral:misc_RNA from 1 species
AUGCGAUAAGUAAUGUGAAUUGCAGAAUUCAGUGAAUCAUCGAAUCUUUGAACGCACAUUGCGCCCGGCAGUAAUCUGCCGGGCAUGCCUGUCCGAGCGUCAUUUCAACCCUCGAACCUCCGUUUCCUCAGGGAAGCCCAGGGUCGGUGUUGGGGCGCUACGGCGAGUCUUCGCGACCCCCGUAGGCCCUGAAAUACAGUGGCGGUCCCGCCGCGGUUGCCUUCUGCGUAGUAAGUCUCUUUUGCAAGCUCGCAUUGGGUCCCGGCGGAGGCCUGCCGUCAAACCACCUAAUAACUCCAGAUGGUUUGACCUCGGAUCAGGUAGGGUUACCCGCUGAACUUAA